rnacentral:rRNA from 1 species
UACGUAGGGGGCAAGCGUUGUCCGGAUUUAUUGGGCGGAAAGAGCGUGUAGGCGGCCUGACAAGUCUGCUGUGAAAACUCGAGGCUCAACCUCGAGAUGUCGGCGGAAACUGUCUGGCUAGAGUCCGGAAGAGGAGAGUGGAAUUCCUGGUGUAGCGGUGAAAUGCGCAGAUAUCAGGAAGAACACCAACGGCGAAGGCAGCUCGCUGGGACGGUACUGACGCUGAGACGCGAAAGCGUGGGGAGCGAACAGG